ACAGUGGUGAUUCAGUGGUAGAAUUCUCACCUUCCAUGAGGGAGACCUGGGUUCAAUUCCCAGCCACUGCA
rnacentral:tRNA from 1 species